AGUGAACGCUGGCGGUAGGCCUAACACAUGCAAGUCGAACGGCAGCACAGUAAGAGCUUGCUCUUACGGGUGGCGAGUGGCGGACGGGUGAGGAAUACAUCGGGAUCUACUUUUUCGUGGGGGAUAACGUAGGGAAACUUACGCUAAUACCGCAUACGACCUACGGGUGAAAGCAGGGGAUCUUCGGACCUUGCGCGAUUGAAUGAGCCGAUGUCGGAUUAGCUAGUUAGCGGGGUAAAGGCCCACCAAGGCGACGAUCCGUAGCUGGUCUGAGAGGAUGAUCAGCCACACUGGAACUGAGACACGGUCCAGACUCCUACGGGAGGCAGCAGUGGGGAAUAUUGGACAAUGGGCGCAAGCCUGAUCCAGCCAUACCGCGUGGGUGAAGAAGGCCUUCGGGUUGUAAAGCCCUUUUGUUGGGAAAGAAAAGCAGCAGGUUAAUACCCCGCUGUUCUGACGGUACCCAAAGAAUAAGCACCGGCUAACUUCGUG
rnacentral:rRNA from 1 species